rnacentral:pre_miRNA from 1 species
CGUGGGUGGUGUUUGACGUCAUUGCAAUAUGCGUGCAUUUUAUCCAAUGUUUGAUGCAGCAUAUUGCAGUGGUGUCGAAAACCAUCUUUC